AACUAUCGAUACCUAACCAAACCCAGCUGUAGUACAUCGAUACCAUUCUUUUCUCAAUCAUUCCGCGCAGUCACUGUCUAAACAACAACAACAAGGUUGAAAUGUCCUCGCAAGAAGAUUAUUCCGAUUACUGUUGCACAUAUUGGUGUUUUCAACGUUUUAUGAUGGCAUUCCUUAAUUCCUAUCUUGCAUGUUGACUAGGUCUGUCUCAUUACUACGGAUUUGUUUUAGACGUCACUGGUAUGAAGUCACUGGUAUGAAGUUUCUGCUCUCUGCUUCGCUGGGAUUUGUUUUAGACGUCACUGGUAUGAAGUCACUGGUAUGGAGUCUCUGAUCUCUGCUUCACUGGGAUUUGUUUUAGACGUCACUGGUAUGAAGUCACUGGUAUGGAGUCUCUGGUUUGUUGACUAGCUCUCUGCUUCACUGGGAUUUCUUUUGAUGGCAAUGGCCCAGGUUCUGCAAGUGCCAUGCAAUUUCUUCUGACUAUUACAAUCAGUUGCCGCCAAGGAAAUUUCUGCUGCUUCGCCACACAAAAUAUUGGAAAUGAAAGCAAAUGCCGUAUAAUUGGAGAAUUUGGAUCCAUACCUAAUGCUGUGUACAUGCCGCGCGGAUUUUUGGAAAAAUCUGUGCCGGUAUUCACAUUUUCACACACCUGUCUAUGCUGCCCCAGUUGGACUUCAUUUCUUCGCCGUUUACUUGAAGACGGCACAUCACUUUGUACUGCAUCUUGACACUCACAAUUACACCGUCUGCAAUUAUUGCAACUAUCGCAAACUGCUGAUUUACAUUUACACGAGAGGCCUGCCAUUUCUCUACUCCACUUGGAUAAGCAUGCCUGGCAACUAACUUUACUUUUGGUUUUUAUUACCAUCCCUCUUUAGCUUAGCUUUUGGUCAAGUGUAAAGUCACAGGAUGGGUAACGUGAAACAAAGGAAAUGAAAGGGUAAGGGUAAGAAACGGAAGAAAAAACCAAAAGAAAAAUUAUCGGUUGUCCCAGUGGGACCAACUUCCAUGGAUCUUGUAAACUUUCAAGCACCAACUCGACAUGAUCAGUUUACAUUACCGGAAAAAUCUUAUUUCAUAAAACAAUUACGUCCCAUUAAUAUACAUUUCUUAAUUAGUUCGAAUGAAAGGUGAAAAUAUGAAAUCCGGCAUCCGUACACGACAUUCCAGUAAAGCUCCCGUAGCAAAUCCUCUCAGAAAUCUAUCCAUUUGACUUCCGUCACAUGCGCCCGGCUCUGCCAAGUCAGCCAAGAAACCCACUACAAGGAUCGCCAUCGCAUUACUACUGAAUAUCGUGAAGUGUGUCGCCUCUUGACACCCAAGCCCCCUCAAAACGAUUCAGGAAAUGAAGGUCACAGACUUUGGCAACUACUAAAGACGAUAAUUCAAAUAUUAUAAAACAACAAUUUCAUUUCUUGGUGUGUAUUAAGUUGCUAAUACAUUUCAGUGUUAGCCUUG
rnacentral:lncRNA from 1 species